GAAUCAGGCUGUGGUGAGGUUGAACACACUGCAGGACCAAUUAGACCUAAGCAGUCUGCUGGAUGUAGCCUGGCAUGACUGUGAGCUCACUGCAUGGUGAUCCACUGCUCACAGUUCUGCUGGAUGAAGGAUGAGCCAAGAUCAUUCUCACUAUGUGACUAACAGAUGGCUGGAUGCAGGCUGGGGUGAGCAUGAGCACACUGCAAGACUAAUUGGUCCUAAAAGGUCUGCUGGAUGUAGCCUUGGAUGAAUGUGAACCCACUGCAUGGUUAUCUGCAGCUCAAA
rnacentral:lncRNA from 1 species